AAAAACUUAGGAUAUUUAAACCAAAAGCCUUCAAAGCUUUUAAAAAGGGUGCAAACCCU
rnacentral:tRNA from 1 species